CGGCUUGCACUAAAAGCACGCCAUGUUAUAUUGUCAAAAAAUUCAUUACAAAGCCCUAAAAACACAGCAUUUCUCCCAUUCUCUUUUCCCCAUCGACUUCGCCUCUCCACGAUUUCCCCUGGCGCUUCAGUUCUCACUCUCUCUCUCUCCACCUUCCACGGCCGACCACAUGCGCCUUAGCUCACUCUCGUCUCUCUCUGGUUUCCACCGUCGACUGAUGGGGCCUCAGCCCUCACUCUCGUCUCUCUCCGCCUUCCACCGGAGCCGCUCACUCUCGUCGCUCGCCUCCCAGGACACAAAUCAUUCAUGUAUGUUGUCUAUGCACAUUUAUUUAUCAUUCAUUUGAGUUAUUUUUCCUGUUGUCAAUUUUGAGUCUGCAGAAAACUGGAAAGAAAUGCAUCUGAGGAAAAACCUAAGUAUGUUUUUCAAAUUUAUAUUUAUUUAAAAAUUUAAACAUGGGUUGUUGUUGAAUUUUAUUGUUUAAAGAUUUAUUUUGGAUGUUGGCACUGCCGCACUGAGAACAGUUGAACAAUGGAGUGUAGAUGCUUGGUGAGGGCAAUAAAGUCAUUUGCAAUUGCGUAGAUGGAGGCCAGGAAGUUCAAUACCCAAAAACUGGGACUAAAGCUUUGCUAAUGUGCAUUUUGGUUGAAGGUUGGUAGUUAAAUGAUAAAUAAUUCAAUUUGAUAGUAUAAUCCAAUUAGUUUGUAGCUUAUAAUUCACUCAGAUUUUUAUUUAAUAAAUCUAAAAAUGAUGUUUAUUUCAGUUUAUUUGAUUUCUAGAAGAACUUAUAGAAUAUGAGCUAAUGAACCCUAGCUUUAGCAAAAAAGAUGAGAUGAUAAGAUAUGAGGUUCCAAGUCCCACUAAUUGAUGCAAUUGGAUAUGUUGACCUGGUUAACUGGGCGGGAUUGGAAAAUAAUGUCACUUAACUAGCCACUAUGGUGAACUCUUGGACUAAAGGUCUGUAGCAUACCAAUUUUAGGGUCAAUUUCUAUCAUUUAAGCUAUCAAAUUAGAACAAUAAAUAAAUGUUCAUAUAGAUGCGUACAUAUAACCCUCAUUUACGGUGUAAACGUGUUGUGUAGUACAUUGUAACCUGAAGUGUGGUUUGUGACCUUUAUGCUUGUAGGGUAUCUUCAAAUUGUGCUUAUACAACUGGAAGGUGAAAUUAGCUCACAAUUGUGAUUAUAAUUAUGACAUAAUAUAUUCAGGUCAGAAUUUUUUGAAAGUGUUAUGUAGUCUAUUAUGACUAGAACAGUAGGUCACAAUUAUGAUUUUGUAUGUGGCCUAUAACAUUCUUCGUUCUCUGUACUGGUUUGGUAUAUCUACUGUUUAUUUGUGAUGUUGUUACUUGUAACAAGUGCUAUUUUUUGUGGUAAGUAUUAUUAUUUGUAACUUUCAUAAAUGUAUACUAUAUUCAAUUUGUGAUGUGAAUUAAUGGUACUAUGUUGUUAAACAAUGAUGGGCGUGUGCAUGUUAACCUGCUAUAUAGAGGUCACAUGUUAAUUUUAUUGGAGGAUUCUUAAAAGUAUAUUGAGCUAGUUGAUCUUGUUAUUUCAAAGUUGGGGAAUGGAUUAUGCAGAAGUUGCAAUUACAAUGUCAUGUCAUUGUGUGAAACGUCAAGAUCCUCAUUUCCUUACUAAUUACUGGGCAAUUAGGUAAGGCCCCAGUAAAGAGAGUUGGCCAUACCAACAUGGUAAUUUCUUGAUUCUGACUUAUAGUUAUGAAUAUUCAAUGUAUUGUUCUGUGAUUGAAAAUGUUAUACCAUUAUGAUCAGGUUUGACUUAUUAUGUGGGUUAAUUUUGAUGACAUCCUACAAUACCGCUGACUGUGACCUACUUUAAUUUCAUUCAAAAGCUAAGUUUGAGAUUUUCGUGUGGUUAAAAUGCAACUGGUAAUUAGUAAUUAGUUGUGCAUCCUGUGUAUCACUGGAUUAAUAAGGGUGGUUGAAUAAUUUUUGAUAUUUUCCAAUGAACAAUACACAUAAUUAAUUAUUGUUCAUCUAAUGACUUUUUCUUAAAGAUCUUUAGAGUCAAGAUGCCUUCUUUAAAUUUUAAACUUACGCUAUUUGUUCAGCGCCUCAAAUUUUAUAGUUUAGAUUUAAAACUCUAAAAGACAUUGUCUUGCUGAUGAAAAUUUCAAAAUCAAACAUACCAGACCUGGUAGGAGAACUGCCUAUGCCCCAGAACCUCCCCUUCCUUAAUACCAUCUUACUCCAUGAUUUCAAAUUUCUGAGUUUCACUAUGUGAAAGCAUUCUUUGUGUCAUCUUAUUAUGUUUGUCCAAUUUUCAGGGCUUAGGUUUAUGGCAAAUGCUGGGUAGGACACUAAUGGUUCACAAAUUUUCAUCUGUGACGACCAGUUGGUAACUAUACAAUUUAUGAUCCUUCUGUUAUGAGAAAACUGCCAUCCAUUUUCAGAUCUUCUGUCUGGUGCUUCUAUUUAGCUUGAAAAUCUAACAAAAGUUAAAUGUUCAGCAGGUUGGAUGGUCGUCAUGUUGUAUUCGGAAAGGUGCUGCCCGGAAUAGAUGUGGUGUAUAAGAUAGAAGCCGAAUGCAACUAGAGUGGAACAACCAAAAGCAAAGUUGUGAUUGCAGAUAGUGGUGAACUUCCCCUGUAAUCAGCUUGUACUUGUACUUGAACUUGUCAGUUUUACCCUUCUACUCACUUCUACUUACUGUGGGUUAUGCAUNAACAGCCUAUAUAUGCCCCAGAACCUCCCCUUCCCUAAUACCAUCUCACUCCAUGAUUUCAGAUUUCUGAGUUUCACUGUGGGAAAGCAUUCUUUGUGUCAUCUUAUUAUUUUUGUCCAAUUUUCAGGGCUUAGGUCUAUGGCAAAUGCUGGGCAGGACACUAAUGGUUCACAAUUUUUCAUCUGUGACGACCAGCUGGUAACUAGACAAUUUAUGAUCUUGCUGUUAUGAGAAAACUGUCAUCCAUUUUCAGAUCUUCUGUCUGGUGCUUCUAUUUAGCUUGAAAAUCUAACAAAAGUUAAAUGUUCAGCAGGUUGGACGGUCGUCAUGUUGUAUUCGGAAAGGUGCUGCCCGGAAUAGAUGUGGUGUAUAAGAUAGAAGCCGAAUGCAACUAGAGUGGAACAACCAAAAGCAAAGUUGUGAUUGCAGACAGUGGUGAACUUCCCUUGUAAUCAGCUUGUACUUGAACUUGUCAGUUUUACCCUUCUACUCACUUCUACUUACUGCGGGUUAUGCAUCUUAAUUUACAUACCUGAAUUAUGUUAUUUAGGAAAAUGAAAUAGGUACCAAAAAAGUACACUUUUCAAUUUGGCACCUAAUAUUAUGAGUCCAUAAGGCAUGUAGAAUGUAUAUUAGGAAAGAAGAGAGGAAACAGAUGCGAUUUCUCUUACAUUGUUGAUAGAGAUCAUUAGGGGAUCAAUGUUAAUUUUCUAGGAAUUUCUUUAUGCUGAUAAGAACACGAACACUGUUGUCUCAAAGGUGUUCAAGGAGCUAAAAUUGAUUAUCAAGAACCCGCAGAUUUAGAGCUUACGAUGGAUAUUGUUACCAAGCUUCAGAAGAUUCGUUUUACAUUUUCUUGAUCUGUUCAGUGACCUUUCCGUUAGUUAGCAUUUAUACAAUUUCUCUCUCUCAUAAAUGCAGUAGGAAAGAAGACAGAAAAAUAGCAAGAAGUCGUAAUUGCAUAGUGAAGAAGUUUCAAAGGCACCCAGAAUGAUUUUUUUCUGAAGUGCUAUAUACUUUUUGAGAAGUAUUGAAAUGAAUUUUACAUUGAUACUGUACUCAAUAUUUAUGGAAUCUAUGAAAAACCUAG
rnacentral:lncRNA from 1 species